GUGCCAGCCGCCGCGGUAAUUCCAGCUCCAAUAGCGUAUAUUAAAGUUGUUGUGGUUAAAAAGCUCGUAGUUGAACCUUGGGCCUGGCUGGCCGGUCCGCCUCACCGCGUGCACUGGUCCGGCCGGGCCUUUCCCUCUGUGGAACCCCAUACCCUUCACUGGGCGUGGCGGGGAAACAGGACAUUUACUUUGAAAAAAUUAGAGUGCUCCAGGCAGGCCUAUGCUCGAAUACAUUAGCAUGGAAUAAUAAAAUAGGACGCGCGGUUCUAUUUUGUUGGUUUAUAGGACCGCCGUAAUGAUUAAUAGGGACAGUCGGGGGCAUCAGUAUUCAACUGUCAGAGGUGAAAUUCUUGGAUCAGUUGAAGACUAACUACUGCGGAAGCAUUUGCCAAGGAUGUUUUCAUUAAUCAGGAACGAAAGUUAGGGGAUCGAAGACGAUCAGAUACCGUCGUAGUCUUAACCAUAAACUAUGCCGACUAGGGAUCGGACGGUGUUAUUCAUGACCCGUUCGGCACCUUACGAGAAAUCAAAGUGCUUGGGCUCCAGGGGGAGUAUGGUCGCAAGGCUGAAACUUAAAGAAAUUGACGGAAGGGCACCACCAGGGGUGGAGCCUGCGGCUUAAUUUGACUC
rnacentral:rRNA from 1 species